rnacentral:rRNA from 1 species
UACGUAGGGGGCAAGCGUUGUCCGGAAUUAUUGGGCGUAAAGCGCGCGUAGGCGGCCCGGUAAGUCCGUUGUGAAAGUCAAAGGCUCAACCUUUGAACGCCGAUGGAUACUGCCGGGCUAGAGUCCGGAAGAGGCGAGUGGAAUUCCUGGUGUAGCGGUGGAAUGCGCAGAUAUCAGGAGGAACACCAAUAGCGAAGGCAGCUCGCUGGGACGGUACUGACGCUGAGGCGCGAAAGCGUGGGUAGCAAACAGG